GGCCUAGUGGUGGAUGGUCCACAUCUCUUUCCGUUAGGGAUUUGACAACUUGGUUUUCAAGUAGAAGACGCCUGUUCGAAUUGGGCCUGGGCCA